rnacentral:rRNA from 1 species
AAGGGAGCGUACCAUGACAGUCGAACGCGAAAGGGGGGGCAACUCCCCGAGUAGAGUGGCGCACGGGUCCCUCACGAGUGGGUAAUCUGCCCUUGAGUGGGGAAUAACCUCGCUUAAGCGGGGCUAAUACCGCAUGACAUCCUCGGCACCUCGGCGCCGGGGAUCAAAGGUGACCUCUGCAUGCAAGUUGCCGCUCGAGGAGGAGCCCGCGUCCCAUUAGCUAGUUGGUAGGGUAACGGCCUACCAAGGCGACGAUGGGUAGCCGGCCUGAGAGGGUGUCCGGCCACACUGGAACUGAGACACGGUCCAGACUCCUACGGGAGGCAGCAGUGAGGAAUAUUGCGCAAUGGGCGAAAGCCUGACGCAGCGACGCCGCGUGGAGGAUGAAGGCCUUCGGGUCGUAAACUCCUGUCGAGGGGGACGAAAUGGCACCUUGUAAAUAGCAAGGAGCCUUGACUGUACCCCUGGAGGAAGCCCCGGCUAACUCCGUGCCAGCAGCCGCGGUAAUACGGAGGGGGCCAGCGUUGCUCGGAAUCACUGGGCGUAAAGGGCUCGUAGGCGGUCUGAUAAGUCCUGUGUGAAAUCCCUUGGCUUAACCAAGGAACUGCGCCGGAUACUGUCGGACUAGAGGCCGGGAGAGGGAAGCGGAAUUCCCAGUGUAGCGGUGAAAUGCGUAGAUAUUGGGAGGAACAUCGGUGGCGAAGGCGGCUUCCUGGACCGGUUCUGACGCUGAUGAGCGAAAGCUAGGGUAGCAAACAGGAUUAGAUACCCUGGUAGUCCUAGCUGUAAACGAUGGGCGCUUGGUGUUGCGGGUAUCGACCCCUGCAGUGCCGAAGCUAACGCAUUAAGCGCCCCGCCUGGGGAGUACGGUCGCAAGGCUGAAACUCAAAGGAAUUGACGGGG